rnacentral:piRNA from 1 species
UNCAAGUCGGCUACUGGGUAUUUGUUGUC